GUCCUGCUCGUCCUCUGUCCUCCCGGCCCAGGCCCCUCUGGAAUCAUCCUGUCUGUAGCUACCCAGCUCUCCACCAGCCCAGAUCUCUCGCCUGAGAUAGGUUUGCUCUUUGAUCUCCACCAGCUGUUUCUAUUAAUAUGACCCGAGAUCCAGAUCUAACUCACACAGCACCUGUGGCUGGCUGACGCCUCCCAACCCCCACCUCCAGCUCGAGCCAGUUUCCCCUCAGCUGAGCUCUGGGGUCUGCAAGCUGCCCCGGGGUAGUUCUUUCCCAAAGCUUCCCAUGCUCAACAACCUUCUGUGGCUUCCUUCUGCCUGCAGUGGGUCCCAACCCCUCAGCCCCCUGCCUCAGCUAGCUGUGUUAUCUGCCUUCCUUCCUCUUCUGUCCAAGCAGCGCCGCCAUGCGGUAUCCCCCACCCAGCCCUGCUCCUGGCCAUCUACCAGCCCUUCCUGCUCAUCCCAAGAUGGGGAGCAGGACCAGAAGCGGGGCGUGGCCCUACAAUCCCCACAGCUUCCAGUCUCUGCCACCGCUGGUCCAGCAACCUCCACACCUUCCUGUCCGGAAACCGUAUUCCAAGACUGGAAACUGUGGAGAAGCCACAGGGCGCCAACCUAAGCGACUUGGGGCUGCAGGUAGGAGACAGAUGGGGGAGGGGCUCACAGGAAAGGGCACGGAUGGAAACUGGGCCGGGAAAGUUGCGUGCAUCUGCGCCUGAGGCUGUGAAUAAACACUCACCCCAGACACGAGAAGAGAUCGGAAGGAACUGAUCGCGCCCUCGCCGCGGUCCGCCCACGCCUGUGCACGCCAGAGCUCUCUGCACUGCCUGCUCCCAGCGUCUCUGACGAACGCAGCUCCCUCCGGGAAGCCUCACCGGCGAGGGUGGGCCUUGGGGCCGGCGUCUGCGGGGAGCACCAGUCCACAGCUGGGAAACAUCUGGCAUGGUCUGGGCGCAUGCGGAGGGGGAGGGGGCUCCAGUCUCAGCUUGAGUACCCCCUUCCGGGCCCCUCCUGGGUGACUGCGUGACUGCCACCCCUGUGACACUUCUCUGCUCCCCUCCGCCAAAGGACUUGACCUGUCUGUGCCUUGAUUUUCUCAUUUGGGAAAUGGUAAUGGUACGUAACUCGUGGGGCUAUUGUAAAAAUUGAAAAACAGGCCUGGAAACAGGUGCUGCUCCGUGAAUACCAAUCCUCGUCGCAUUUCCUUCGUCUUCAUUAUUCCCAUUUCGAUUCCCCAGCUUGCAGGUGACCACACCGCUCGGCAUUCCCGGCACCCGCCAGAGGCAGCCCUGGGGCACUGCAUGUUGACGGCUCCGCUCCGAUGAAAGGGGCUGCCACCACCUUCCCUCCAGUGAAAAUUAACCGAGCUGCUGGAAAUCAGAACAGAUACUGUGCUC
rnacentral:lncRNA from 1 species